rnacentral:rRNA from 1 species
GACGAACGCUGGCGGCGCGCCUAACACAUGCAAGUCGAACGAGCGAGAGAGAGCUUGCUUUCUCGAGCGAGUGGCGAACGGGUGAGUAACGCGUGAGGAACCUGCCUCAAUGAGGGGGACAACAGUUGGAAACGACUGCUAAUACCGCAUAAGCCCACGGCUCGGCAUCGAGCAGGGGGAAAAGGAGCAAUCCGCUUUGAGAUGGCCUCGCGUCCGAUUAGCUAGUUGGUGAGGUAACGGCCCACCAAGGCGACGAUCGGUAGCCGGACUGAGAGGUUGAACGGCCACAUUGGGACUGAGACACGGCCCAGACUCCUACGGGAGGCAGCAGUGGGGAAUAUUGCACAAUGGGGGAAACCCUGAUGCAGCGACGCCGCGUGGAGGAAGAAGGUCUUCGGAUUGUAAACUCCUGUUGUUGGGGAAGAUAAUGACGGUACCCAACAAGGAAGUGACGGCUAACUACGUG